GAGAGUUUGAUCAUGGCUCAGGAUGAACGCUGGCGGCGUGCCUAACACAUGCAAGUCGAACGGUUGAGUACUUGACUUUUAGUUACUUAUAAAAAAAUGAUAAGUGAUUAAAAGUUGAGUACUCGAUAGUGGCGGACGGGUGAGUAACGCGUAAGUAAUCAACCUGUGACACACGGAUAACUGAUAGAAAUGUCAGCUAAUACGAGAUGAACUGUUUAAAUUGGGAAAUGGAAACAGCAAAGCGAAAGCGGUCACAGACGAGCUUGCGUCUGAUUAGCUAGUUGGUGGGGUAAGAGCCUACCAAGGCGACGAUCAGUAGCCGGCCUGAGAGGGUGAACGGCCACAUUGGAACUGGGACACGGUCCAAACUCCUACGGGAGGCAGCAGUGGGGGAUAUUGCACAAUGGGGGGAACCCUGAUGCAGCAACGCCGCGUGAGUGAAGAAGGCCUUAGGGUCGUAAAGCUCUGUCGUAUGGGAAGAAACAAAUGACUGUACCAUACAAGAAAGCCCCGGCUAACUACGUGCCAGCAGCCGCGGUAAUACGUAGGGGGCAAGCGUUAUCCGGAAUUACUGGGCGUAAAGGGUGCGUAGGCGGCUAGUUAAGUCGAGGUUAAAAGGCAGUAGCUCAACUAUUGUUGGGCCUUGAAACUAAUUAGCUUGAGUAUAGGAGAGGAAAGUGGAAUUCCCGGUGUAGCGGUGAAAUGCGUAGAUAUCGGGAGGAAUACCGGUGGCGAAGGCGACUUUCUGGACUAUAACUGACGCUGAGGCACGAAAGCGUGGGUAGCAAACAGGAUUAGAUACCCUGGUAGUCCACGCCGUAAACGAUGAACACUAGGUGUCGGGAGGAAUUUCGGUGCCGGCGCAAACGCAAUAAGUGUUCCGCCUGGGGAGUACGUUCGCAAGAAUAAAACUCAAAGGAAUUGACGGGGACCCGCACAAGUAGCGGAGCAUGUGGUUUAAUUCGAAGCAACGCGAAGAACCUUACCUAAGCUUGACAUGGGGAUGAAAAGCAAUGUAAAGAUGUAAUGAUACUUUCGGGUAUACAUCCCACACAGGUGGUGCAUGGUUGUCGUCAGCUCGUGUCGUGAGAUGUUGGGUUAAGUCCCGCAACGAGCGCAACCCCUAUUGAUAGUUGCCAGUGCGUUAUGGUAGGCACUCUAUCAAGACAGUUAUGGAUAACAUAAAGGAAGGUGGGGAUGACGUCAAAUCAUCAUGCCCCUUAUGCUUAGGGCUACACACGUGCUACAAUGGCUGUAACAAAGAGAAGCAAGGUCGUAAGGCGGAGCAAACCUGAAAAAAACAGUCCAAGUUCGGAUUGUGGGCUGAAACUCGCCCACAUGAAGUCGGAGUUACUAGUAAUCACGAAUCAGAAUGUCGCGGUGAAUGCGUUCCCGGGUCUUGUACACACCGCCCGUCACACCAUGGGAGCUGAGGGUACCCAAAGUCAGUGAUCUAACGUAAGAAGAAGCUGCCUAAGGUAAACUUAGUGACUGGGGUGAAGUCGUAACAAGGUAGCCGUAUCGGAAGGUGCGGCUGGAUCACCU
rnacentral:rRNA from 1 species